AGUGUAUUCAGAAUUUAAAACUAAUAAAGAUACGAAACAGGACUCUUGGGGUCAUUGUGAUGAAGGGCACAGAGCCUGUGGCCUCCCUAUGAACAAAUUCCCUACAUAU
ensembl:snoRNA